rnacentral:tRNA from 1 species
AUAGACUUAGUAUAAAUUAUUAUUCUGAAUUUAGAUUUUAGAGAUUUCUGUCUAUU